ACGUGAUCUCCAGGAGCCGCUCACAGCUACUUGGCCUUCGGGAGAGGAAAAUCAGUUGCGCUGCGCAUGCGCUAGAAGUGAUGUCACGUGUCUCUCUUUGCCGCCGCCGUGCCGUCUGCUCGCUUCGCGUGCGCAUGCGCUAGCACACAGCGGUUUGUUUGCUUGAGGAUGAGAUUUGUGGUUUGUGGUAGCGGUGAAGCAACUUUGCCAAAUAUUCCGUUCAAGUUCCUCGCUGGAUGUCCCGCUCGUCCGUCGAUGUUCAACAGAUGCAACAAGUGCCAGUCCACUUUUUCUCAGCUGCACCCUCUCAGUUCAGGCAGCAGCAGUACCAGGUGUAUGUACAUAACUUCCAAGACACACGAGUGCAAUUCUGAAGCUGAUUUUCAGGCAUGGAGAGAAGAAAUGCAGGAUGCAGCCAAGAGUCAUUUUACUAAAGGCACAGGGGUAAAACGAUUGAAAGAUGGAGGUUUAAAGUGUUAUUAUAUUUGUAACUGAUUGG